ensembl:lncRNA
GAUGAUAUGCCCCCCAACUCACUUUCAGCUCCUCCGCUGGAUACGGUGAUGUCACCCAGAUAAGCAAUCCCCGGUGUGGUGCUGUCUGCUGAAUGGGAUAGGCUGUCAUCCCUGAGAAGUCCCAUGUGCGUGCACAGUCCAAAGAAAUGCAGGCUAGAGACGAGCCAAGUGCACACCCACUCAGUGAUGGCCUUAGCUGCGCAGCUGUGCCGGUAAUCCUGCCGCUGCACAAAGAGACGCCUUGACAACCGACCUACCUUCCUCUCUCUCUCACAAAAAAAGGCAUAGAGAGGAAAAAAAGAAAAUACGGAGGCAUAAACAAAUGCGACCAUGUACAGUGUGGAGGACCUCCUCAUCUCUCAUGGAUACAAGCUGCCCAUGCAUACCACCUCCUCCUCCAUCCCUACCCCGGCCCCCGCCUCCUUGUCCCGCCAGCAGCCUUCGUCCUCACCGCCGUCCUACAGCCGACACCAUGAAUUCCUGGAGAACAGGCCCAGGAUGUCUUAUGGGAACGGGAGCGAAUCCAGGCAGCCACAAGGGUACGCCAGCGGCUGUCCCAACAACAACAACGGACCCAGGGACAGGGGCCAGUCCAGGCGGGAGGGCGAGAACCGGUGCCAAAUGGACACCCACUCCUUGGGAGAGUCGCUGACCUCAGACAGCGG